GAUGAACGCUGGCGGCGUGCCUAAUACAUGCAAGUAGAACGCUGAAGCUUGGUGCUUGCACCGAGCGGAUGAGUUGCGAACGGGUGAGUAACGCGUAGGUAACCUGCCUCUUAGCGGGGGAUAACUAUUGGAAACGAUAGCUAAUACCGCAUAAAAGUCGACAUCGCAUGAUGUUGACUUGAAAGGUGCAAUUGCAUCACUAAGAGAUGGACCUGCGUUGUAUUAGCUAGUUGGUGAGGUAACGGCUCACCAAGGCGACGAUACAUAGCCGACCUGAGAGGGGGAUCGGCCACACUGGGACUGAGACACGGCCCAGACUCCUACGGGAGGCAGCAGUAGGGAAUCUUCGGCAAUGGGGGCAACCCUGACCGAGCAACGCCGCGUGAGUGAAGAAGGUUUUCGGAUCGUAAAGCUCUGUUGUAAGAGAAGAACGAGUGUGAGAGUGGAAAGUUCACACUGUGACGGUAACUUACCAGAAAGGGACGGCUAACUACGUG
rnacentral:rRNA from 1 species